rnacentral:rRNA from 1 species
UACGUAGGGGGCAAGCGUUGUCCGGAAUCAUUGGGCGUAAAGAGCGUGUAGGCGGCCCGAUAAGUCCGCUGUGAAAGUCCAGGGCUCAACCCUGGAAUGCCGGUGGAUACUGUCGGGCUCGAAUCCGGAAGAGGUGAGUGGAAUUCCUGGUGUAGCGGUGAAAUGCGCAGAUAUCAGGAGGAACACCAGUGGCGAAGGCGGCUCACUGGCCGGUACUGACGCUGAGGUGCGAAAGCGUGGGGAGCAAACAGG